rnacentral:tRNA from 1 species
UCCUCAGUAGCUCAAUGUAGGGCAAUCAGUUGUUAACCGAUUGGUCGUAGGUUUGAAUCCUACCUGCGGAACCA